GUGAAAACGAAAAAAAUUUUCCGCCUUAGAGAUCCAACUAGUCGGAUCCUCAUAUUCCCAUCGUGGAAAUUCUACCCUAAUGCGUGGGUAGUGUGUGUCACCAUCUUGGGGCCCUUUUCCUGUACCUCCCAAUCUGUUCAACAUAGAACUUGAGCUCCCAUCUUGUUGAAACCCGCUAAAGUGCUCCAACAAGCUCUUUUUGAAAUCAUGAAGGGUUUCUUGUAGCCGAUUCUCAAUUC
rnacentral:lncRNA from 1 species